rnacentral:rRNA from 1 species
GGCAGCAGUCGAGAAUCUUCCACAAUGGACGAAGUCUGAUGGGAGCGACGCCGCGUGCGGGAUGAAGGCCUUAUGGGUUGUAAACCGCUGUCAGGGGGAAGGAACAUCGGAAUGAACAAUACUCAUUCCGACUGACGUUACCCCAGAGGAAGCUCCGGCCAACUCCGUGCCAGCAGCCGCGGUAAUACGGGGGAGGCAAGCGUUGUCCGGAAUUAUUGGGCGUAAAGGGCGUGUAGGCGGCGAGGUAAGUCGAAAUGUGAAAAUCUCACGGGCUCAAACCGGUGAAACUGCGUUCG